rnacentral:rRNA from 1 species
GAUGAACGCUGGCGGCGUGCCUAAUACAUGCAAGUCGAGCGAACAGACGAGGAGCUUGCUCCUCUGACGUUAGCGGCGGACGGGUGAGUAACACGUGGAUAACCUACCUAUAAGACUGGGAUAACUUCGGGAAACCGGAGCUAAUACCGGAUAAUAUAUUGAACCGCAUGGUUCAAUAGUGAAAGACGGUUUUGCUGUCACUUAUAGAUGGAUCCGCGCCGCAUUAGCUAGUUGGUAAGGUAACGGCUUACCAAGGCAACGAUGCGUAGCCGACCUGAGAGGGUGAUCGGCCACACUGAAACUGAGACACGGUCCAGACUCCUACGGGAGGCAGCAGUAGGGAAUCUUCCGCAGUGGGCGAAAGCCUGACGGAGCAACGCCGCGUGAGUGAUGAAGGUCUUCGGAUCGUAAAACUCUGUUAUUAGGGAAGAACAAAUGUGUAAGUAACUAUGCACGUCUUGACGGUACCUAAUCAGAAAGCCACGGCUAACUACGU